AUGGACAUCAUAUUCAUAGACAAUGAUGAUGGUAAGCAUAAGAGGAAACAGUAUAUCAAGUUGUUCGACCGGAUGGUUCGUCCGAUAAGGUAUGCUGAUGAAACUUGCUUAUGUAGUUUAGGGUUACAUAAUAGUGUAUGCUUAAUGCUUGAUAGAUUAGGAUUAUCUAAUUUUUUUUCACUUUGCAAUCCUACUUACACUAGACUGACAUUGGAGUUUCUUAGUUCCUUUCAGUAUCUCACACCUAUGAUGAGUCAAUACACUGUAGGCACCGUAAAAUUCAAAAUGUUUAAUAGGGAAUAUGAACGGAUCUAG